CCCCGACGUCCCGUCCUCCCCUUCCUUCCACCGCUACCCCGUCCUCCCCUUCCUUCCCCCGCCGCUCCGUCCUCCCCUUUCUUUCGCCGCACACCUCUCCCCUCGCCCCUGCCACCCACAUCUCCCCUUUCCUCCAUGGCUGCAGAUCCACUCAAGCUCCUCUCUCCCACCCCCGAUUCAUCUCCAGUCCCACCGCCGACACCCAACCCCACCCCCACCGGCGACCGUCUCCCCCAACCCCAUCACCACCGCGACCUCCCUCCCUCCCUCAGGUCUGUCCGACCCAUGGGCGGAUGAGGCCCGAAACCCUAGCCCUUCACCCACCCACCAAUGGAUGGAUGGGGACGGGGAGACGACGGUGCGGUGGCGGAGACGUCCAUGGCGAACGCGAGCCGACAGCCGGCCAUCUCCGGCAAGCCCGACCACAGCGAUCGCGGAACUCUGACCAUGGUUGCUCCGGUGCUGCUGUUGCUCCCUCCUCUUCUCUGCGUCCUCCUCCUAGUUGCUGCUCCCUCCUCUGCUCUGCCUCCUCCUCCUAGCUGCUGCUCCCUCCUCUGCUCUGCCUACGUCCUCCAGGGUGUCGUGCUGGCAACCGGGGUUGGAGCGCUCAGAUCGAAGGUGGCCGAGCGCUGGUACUUGCUCUACAAGAUGGACAAGCAGGGGGCCAACCUCACGUUCAUCUACUGGUGGGAGGACAAGGUCUCAGCCAUGUUGCUUUCUUCUGGCUCUGAAUGGUCGGAUGGUCAAUAUAACUUUUGUGGGGGACCGGACGGUGGUGGAGAUGUACAAGUUCCUCAAGAAGCACGCUGCCAUCCCUUUCAACUCUGCUGCAGCUGCGGCCGGCUGUGCUUCUGCCUCGGCUACAAACUGCCUAGCUAAACAUGACCCAUGUACAAUGGAUACAACAUGCGCAUCCUCCUCAAUCCCUAGCUAGUGCACGAUUGCCGAAGUGCAGUUCAUGGAGCAUUUGGACCUCUUAAUGUAAUAGCUGGUGAAGUGCGAAUCCAUGUCCGAAGCUGUGAAGCAUAUCAGCAAAGAGUAGCAUAUUAUGUGUUGUGAUUGUAGGCAGUAGUAGGCAUAUCUUGGUUGUAAUAUACUGCAACGAUUGUAAUAGAUUAAUGUAGUAUUGUUUUGGAUCAAUUUCAUUUGCUCUCUGGUCUGUUUGAAAAAUGAUUGUGUAUGUGAUUUGAAUACUUGUGAAAUGGAAACCUGACAAGUGGGUUCAAGUUA